GACGAACGCUGGCGGCGUGCUUAACACAUGCAAGUCGAACGGUAAGGCCCUUCGGGGUACACGAGUGGCGAACGGGUGAGUAACACGUGGGUGAUCUGCCCUGCACUUCGGGAUAAGCCUGGGAAACUGGGUCUAAUACCGGAUAGGACCACUGCCUGCAUGGGUGGUGGUGGAAAGCUUUUGCGGUGUGGGAUGGGCCCGCGGCCUAUCAGCUUGUUGGUGGGGUGAUGGCCUACCAAGGCGACGACGGGUAGCCGGCCUGGGAGGGUGGCCGGCAACACUGGGACUGAGAUACGGCCCAGACUCCUACGGGAGGCAGCAGUGGGGAAUAUUGCACAAUGGGCGCAAGCCUGAUGCAGCGACGCCGCGUGAGGGAUGACGGCCUUCGGGUUGUAAACCUCUUUCAGCACCGACGAAGCGCAAGUGACGGUAGGUGCAGAAGAAGGACCGGCCAACUACGUGCCAGCCGCCGCGGUAA
rnacentral:rRNA from 1 species